rnacentral:lncRNA from 1 species
GUCCUGAGCACAAGUCCACAUGGCUGAUCCUGUUACAAAGAAUCUCAAUAGACUGUCUUCACUAAAGACAGAAGUCUAAUUUAUAUGAGCUCAGGCUCUCCCACCUUCUCUGGAAAAUAGUGUAGGUUCUCCCCAUCUUUAUUCAUUCUUGUGAUUUUUUUUUAGAGGGGAAGUAGAACUUCACACACCAUGUCUGACUGUGCUGAAACUCUCCAAAUCAAUCAGAUGAAGGGCCUCUGUCCACUUCUCGUGAGGUAA